UACAGAGGUCCCAAGCGUUGUUCGGAUUCAUUGGGCGUAAAGGGUGCGUAGGCGGCGCGGUAAGUCGGGUGUGAAAUCUCGGGGCUUAACUCCGAAACUGCAUUCGAUACUGCCGUGCUUGAGGACUGGAGAGGAGACUGGAAUUUACGGUGUAGCGGUGAAAUGCGUAGAUAUCGUAAGGAAGACCAGUGGCGAAGGCGGGUCUCUGGACAGUUCCUGACGCUGAGGUGCGAAAGCUAGGGGAGCGAACGGG
rnacentral:rRNA from 1 species